UAGUGAGUUCUUGUGAGAUCUGGUCCUUUAAAAGUGUGUAGCACCUCCCCCCUUUCCCUUUUGCUUCUGCUCUGGCCAUUUAAAAAGUACCUGCUUC